rnacentral:rRNA from 1 species
CACAUGCAGUCGAACGGUAACAGGAAGCAGCUUGCUGCUUCGCUGACGAGUGGCGGACGGGUGAGUAAUGUCUGGGAAACUGCCUGAUGGAGGGGGAUAACUACUGGAAACGGUAGCUAAUACCGCAUAACGUCGCAAGACCAAAGAGGGGGACCUUCGGGCCUCUUGCCAUCGGAUGUGCCCAGAUGGGAUUAGCUAGUAGGUGGGGUAACGGCUCACCUAGGCGACGAUCCCUAGCUGGUCUGAGAGGAUGACCAGCCACACUGGAACUGAGACACGGUCCAGACUCCUACGGGAGGCAGCAGUGGGGAAUAUUGCACAAUGGGCGCAAGCCUGAUGCAGCCAUGCCGCGUGUAUGAAGAAGGCCUUCGGGUUGUAAAGUACUUUCAGCGGGGAGGAAGGCGAUAAGGUUAAUAACCUUGUCGAUUGACGUUACCCGCAGAAGAAGCACCGGCUAACUCCGUGCCAGCAGCCGCGGUAAUACGGAGGGUGCAAGCGUUAAUCGGAAUUACUGGGCGUAAAGCGCACGCAGGCGGUCUGUCAAGUCGGAUGUGAAAUCCCCGGGCUCAACCUGGGAACUGCAUUCGAAACUGGCAGGCUAGAGUCUUGUAAGGGGGGUAGAAUUCCAGGUGUAG